rnacentral:rRNA from 1 species
UACGUAGGGUGCGAGCGUUAAUCGGAAUUACUGGGCGUAAAGCGUGCGCAGGCGGUUUGUUAAGACAGAUGUGAAAUCCCCGGGCUUAACCUGGGAACUGCAUUUGUGACUGGCAAGCUAGAGUAUGGCAGAGGGGGGGUAGAAUUCCACGUGUAGCAGUGAAAUGCGUAGAGAUGUGGAGGAAUACCGAUGGCGAAGGCAGCCCCCUGGGUCAAUACUGA